CAGCCAAAACGCAAAACAAGUGAGCUAUUCCAACAACAAAAUGCUUUGGUUCAGCUGAACUAUGACCCAUAUUAAAGUUAAAUAAUUUAACUGAGUUUCUAUGCCACAGACCAGUUGUUCAACUGAGAUUAUAUGCCAC